UGACAGGCGUUGCGACUAUCCUGCAUGCUUGCGAUUCGCGUUGUGUGCGGAGCGGCAGACGGCUCAGUAAUACUGCGAUGAUUUGUUCGGGGAGGCCGUGUAGCCGCGGGAAACUGUGGGUAGGCGGCUGGGCUGCACUGGGUUGCUGGGGCGGUGUCUGAGUAAGUUGCAGCCCUAUUAGCUGGUAGCUAGGGUAAUGGCCUAGCUAGGCGAUGAUGGGAGACGGGGAAUUUGGGUUUGGUUCCGGAGAGGGAGCCUGAGAGAUGGCCACUACGUCCAAGGAUGGCAGCAGGCGCGGAACUUGCCGAAUCCUUUUGGGAGGCAGUUAGCAAGCGUUGGGUUUGUUUGGAAUUGCAAAGAGAUUCCUUGAGAUUGGAGGGCAAGUCGGGUGCCAGCAGCCGCGGUAAUACCUGCUCCAAGAGUGUCUAUGGUGGAUGCUGCAGUUAAAAGGUUCGUAGUUGUGUUGCUUGCGCAUGUUUUGUGUGCCUGUGUGUGUGGCGGGCUGUGGAUGUGUGCGGCGAUGUGCGCAACAGACGGGGGGCACUGGAUAGUUGGGCGAGAGGUGAAAUGCGACGACCCUGACUGGACAGACGGAGGCGAAGGCGGUGCUCUUGGAUGGAUGUGAGGAUCAAGAACGAAGGCUGGAGGAUCGAAAUCGAUUAGAUACCGUUUUAGUUCCAGCAGUAAACGAUGCCGACUGGAUGGUGUGUGUUGCACUGUGCGCGAGAAAUCUGUGAGUGUGUGGGCUCUGGGGAUAGUAUGAUCGCAAGAGGGAAACUUAGAGAGAUUGACGGAAGGACACCACCAGGAGUGGAGUGUGCGGCUUAAUUUGACUCAACGCGGGACAACUUACCAAUGCCGAGAUGUGUUUGAGAGCGGGAACGCGGGGACGCGUGGCGGGGGGACGCGUGGCGGUGGUGCAUGACGUUUGAAUGGAUGGCGUGAGCUGAGGAUAAUUUCGGAAGAUGUGAGACCCUUGACUGCGUUUGUGAGAGCGAGGAGGGAGGGAACACACAGGUCCGUUAUGCCUGAGAUGUGUUGGGCUGCACGCGCACUACGAUAUUCUGCGUUUGCGGAGAUGUGCGGGAUUGAUGCUUGUGAAUGUGUCAUGAACGUGGAAUUCCUAGUAAGGGCUGUUCAUUAGGCUGUCUUGAAUGGGUCCCUGUCCUUUGUACACACCGCCCGUCGCUAU
rnacentral:rRNA from 1 species